GUGUAAGCAUAACAAUACCUGUAAGCAUAUUAUUUCACACAGCUUACGCGUGCAUGUUGCUUUGUUUACAGAGUGGGAGUGACGAUCGCCUACGCAGCAAAUCAGAACAUCACAAAUCAGAUCAAGAGCACCAGACGCCUCGUCAGCACUAACAUAAGAGACCUGAAAUCUUUUGCGAACCACACACCAGUGCAAAUAGACUAUCUCUCUGCACAGUACACAACAGCCAAGAACAAAGUAUUAUCAGACUUAGACAAUAUUGGGAAUCUGCUGGGUGGACAGAUUCAUAAUCAGCUGGAGAGAGAAGUGGUGCCUGCUUUAGACAACGCUCUCCGCAUGACAGCAGUUAAAGUGGAGGGUGCUAUUAAAG